UUGGAGUCUGCAACUCGACUCCAUGAAGUCGGAAUCGCUAGUAAUCGCGGAUCAGAAUGCCGCGGUGAAUACGUUCCCGGGCCUUGUACACACCGCCCGUCACACCAUGGGAGUUUGUUGCACCAGAAGUAGCUAGCCUAACUGCAAAGAGGGCGGUUACCACGGUGUGGCCGAUGACUGGGGUGAAGUCGUAACAAGGUAGCCGUAGGGGAACCUGCGGCUGGAUCACCUCCUUAA
rnacentral:rRNA from 1 species